rnacentral:misc_RNA from 1 species
AAGUCGUAACAAGGUUUCCGUAGGUGAACCUGCGGAAGGAUCAUUAACACGUAUCCAACGUUAAAAACCCCGUGCAUCUUAACCCUGCUCUCCUCUCACCUUGAUAAGCAAUCUCUGGUAAAUCACGCAGAAAUAGUUUGAUUCAGAGACUUCUUUGAAGACGUGUUUGGAUGGAGCGGUAGAGUAAAUAGACCUGGCUUUCUCAUCACGACAAUGAGUGAAAGUGUCAUUGUAGCGGUUUGAAUAACUGAUACUUACUCAGAUCGUUGACCGACACGGUCAACGGACAGGUCUCUGGAGCUCCGCUCCCCUAAAUAUUAACCUGGUAUGUGAAUUAAGGGCUUGCAAACUACAGGCCCACAAAAUGAACAACUGUUAACAAUGGAUAUCUUGGUUCUC